rnacentral:misc_RNA from 1 species
GAUGAAGAACGUAGCUAAAUGCGAUAAGUAAUGUGAAUUGCAGAAUUCAGUGAAUCAUCGAAUCUUUGAACGCACCUUGCGCUCUUUGGUAUUCCGAAGAGCAUGCCUGUUUGAGUGUCAUGAAAAUAUCAACCUUGACUUGGGUUUUGUGCUCUAGUCUCGGCUUGGAAUUGGGUGCUUGCCGCUUUUACGAGCGGCUCACCUUAAAUGUAUUAGCUGGAUCUGUCUUUGAGACUUGGUUUGACUUGGCGUAAUAAGUAUUUCGCUAAGGACAUUCUUCGGAGUGGCCUCGUUUCUAGGACGCUUGUCCGCUUUCCAAUACAAGUUCCACCUCGUGGACAUGACUUUUUAUUAUAUGGCCUCAAAUCAGGUAGGACUACCCGCUGAACUUAAGCAUAUCAAUAAGCGGAGGA